rnacentral:lncRNA from 1 species
GACUUCCUUUAUUUGUUGUUGAAUCAUCAUGCCCCCAACGGCGUUAUGAAAAAUGAUUUUCUAGAAAUUACUUUCUAAAUUUUUCUUUAUUUAUUUUUAGAACAGUAAAAAUAAAUUUGGUUGAGUUUCCAUCACUCUGCAUCCUCUAUGCAAUUGACAUUCUUAUGCCCUGACAUUUAUCUUCUCACCUUUCUUAAAAGAAUCAUCAUUAGCCAUACUCUCUCAACUAUGAUGGGCAUGAUCAUCUUGUGUGAUGAUAUGCAUGAUUGCUGGAUGAACUCCAGAGCAUCCUGCCAUCCUUGAGGCAUAAGCUUGAUGCAAGUUCCUCAAGUGUUGCUUGAAAACAUUCUGCCUUCGAGCAUCUGCUCAAGUGGCGAAAUUGCAGUGAACACAUGCAUCUGUACUGACUUCUUGUGCUGUGACUUGAUGUGCUUGAAUAUUUGAAUGAUGGGGUGUGAGCUGCAGGAUCCCUAGUUAGAUGAGAAUUUUUGGCCAAACUGGUGGUUGAUCAGAAGAGGAAUAAAGCUACUAACAAGUUCUCCAGGCAGACAUAAACGGACAGGGGACUUUCUUUGUAGGAUUGGAAUAAUCUCCGAACGUGCUCGAUCUGGCAUCUUCCUGUCUGCGCGCACAUACCAGUUUGUGUAACUCUGAAGCGUGUUCGAUACUUUUUUUUGCUUGUUGCUUACGUAGUGCUCUGCAGGAACAGAAAUAUUAAGAAAAUUCCACUGGUAUUUUGAAUUCCCUUUAGAGAGAGAGAGAGAGAGAGAGAGAGAGAGUGGCAUGAGAGAAAAAGCCUCUUCAAAUUAACAUAAUUUCCUUGCAAUGGAUGUUUCAAUCUCGAAUAAUUUCUUUCUAAGAAUUCGG